UACGUAGGCAGCGAGCGUUGUUCGGAGUUACUGGGCGUAAAGAGUGCGUAGGCGGUUUUCUAAGUUUGGUGUGAAAUCUCCCGGCUUAACUGGGAGGGUGCGCCGAAAACUGGAAGGCUUGAGUAUGGGAGAGGUAAGCGGAAUUCCUGGUGUAGCGGUGAAAUGCGUAGAGAUCCGGAAGAACACCGGUGGCGAAGGCGGCCCGCUGGGCAGGAAGGCUCGCAAGAGCCGGCUGACACUGAGGCGCGACAGCGUGGGGAGCAAACAGG
rnacentral:rRNA from 1 species